rnacentral:rRNA from 1 species
UACGUAGGUGGCAAGCGUUAUCCGGAUUUAUUGGGUGUAAAGGGCGUGUAGGCGGGAAAGCAAGUCAGAUGUGAAAACUCAGGGCUCAACCCUGAGCCUGCAUUUGAAACUGUUUUUCUUGAGUGCUGGAGAGGUAAUCGGAAUUCCGUGUGUAGCGGUGAAAUGCGUAGAUAUACGGAGGAACACCAGUGGCGAAGGCGGAUUGCUGGACAGUAACUGACGCUGAGGCGCGAAAGCGUGGGGAGCAAACAGG